UACAGAGGUCUCAAGCGUUGUUCGGAUUCAUUGGGCGUAAAGGGUGCGUAGGCGGCGCGGUAAGUCGGGUGUGAAAUCUCGGAGCUUAACUCCGAAACUGCAUUCGAUACUGCCGUGCUUGAGGACUGGAGAGGAGACUGGAAUUUACGGUGUAGCGGUGAAAUUCGUAGAUAUUAGGAAGAACACCAGUGGCGAAGGCGGCUCACUGGUCCGGUACUGACGCUGAGGUGCGAAAGCGUGGGGAGCAAACAGG
rnacentral:rRNA from 1 species